rnacentral:lncRNA from 1 species
UGCUAAGCAUUUGAUUCUAAACAUCUGUCUUUCUCUCUCCGUUAUAGUAUAUCUACACGUGAAACAGACGCAGAGCCUGGAAGAUGGGAAGCAGAUCAGAAACGCCCUGGGUUGGUUGCAGGUACUGCUUUUCUAAGACUGGCUGUUAUCAGCAUGAAGGGGACCCCAGGUAGGCUCACCACACUGUGUUGUCAGGGUAGAAACCAUAAACCCAG